rnacentral:rRNA from 1 species
AUGUAAUUUAAUGCCUACAAUGUUAAUGCACCAGAUCCCAUUAGAACUCCACAAUUAAGCGUGCUUGGACUAGAGUAGCAUUGGGAUGGGUGACCUCCCGAGAAGUCCUAGUGUUUUACAUG